rnacentral:rRNA from 1 species
CCUACGGGUGGCAGCAGUGGGGAAUAUUGGACAAUGGGGGAAAGCCUGAUCCAGCAACGCCGCGUGAGUGAAGAAGUCUCUACGUAUGUUAAGCUCUAUUUGCCGGGAAGAAGAUGACGGUACUUGUGUAAGAAGCCGCGGCUAAAUACGUGCCAGCAGCCGCGGUACUACGGAGGGAGCCAGCGUUAUACGGAUUUACUGGGUGUAAAGGGGGCGUAGUCGGGGAGACAAGUCUGAAGUGAAAGCCCGGGGGUCAACCCCGGGACUGCAGUGGAAACUGGCUGGCUGGAGUGCGGGAGAGGUAAGCGGAAUGCGUAGUGUAGCGGUGAAAUGCGUAGAUAUUAGGAAGAACACCAGUUGCGAAGGCAGCUUGCUGGACAGUAACUGACGUUGAGGCUCGAAAGCGUGGGUAGCAAACAGGAUUAGAUACCCGGGUAGUC